rnacentral:rRNA from 1 species
UACGUAGGGUGCAAGCGUUAUCCGGAUUUACUGGGCGUAAAGGGUUUCGCAGGCGGAUUAUCAAGUCUGGUCUUAAAGGUCACGGCUCAACUGUGAACAUGGAUUGGAUACUGAUAAUCUUGAGAACAUUAGAGGAGACUGGAAUUCUUGGUGGAGGGGUGAAAUCCGUUGAUAUCAAGAGGAACGUCAAUGGCGAAGGCAGGUCUCUGGAGUGUUUCUGACGCUCAUGUACGAAAGCUAGGGUAGCAAA